GGAGAGAAGAUGACGAAAGGCUAAUCUGGCGACGAUGUCAGAUUCGUAACGAACAUGUGGUGGUCGGCCACUGUUUAUGCAAUUUGAAGGUAAUGUUUUAUACCUUCACUCCAAAUUGCUUCUGAUAUAUUAUGCUCUUCCUCUUCAUCUUUUUUUCCAGAUCCAACACUUUCGUGGCUUAGGUUUUCUAGAUCCAACACUUUCGUGGCUUAGGGUUUCCAGAUCCAACACUUUUAUGACUUAGGGUUUGCGGAUCCAACGCUUUCUGUUUCUUCUGUAUAGGAUGCAAUAAGUGGUGGUGGUGGUUGUGUAUCCUUCAACGAUUGUCGACAUCAACGACCUAAAGGAGUUAUGGAAAAAUCGCCGUUAAAAUACACCACAAAUGGAAAGUGACAACAACAACCAAAGAGCAUUUUGAACGGGCGGUAUUUGACAAGAACGUGAGUUUGUUAUUUCCUAAAGAACUAUUAUUUUGACUCUGUUUUCGAACAUCGAUUGCAGGUGCAGAAUUGUGGUACCGGUUUGGAUUCGUGGAGCAGGAACUGUAGGUAAUACAAAAAUCUGUCACCCAACCGAGUUUGAUUCUUAUCUCUGCAUUCACACCGGCAUCCAGGUUAAUCCGCAUGGACAUUGAGCACUCUCUUUGUAUAAUCGAUGGUCUGAAAAGUUCCAAUACGAUAGCAAGAUGAAACCAUUUUCUCGUGUGAUCAUUUACGUCAAGAAUUUAUUGUACGCUUCGAUUCUUCACCAGAUAUUGUGUUGGUAUUCGUUGAGGACUGAUAAAUUGUUUGAAUAUUGGUACUAAUAUUUUUUGUUGCAAGCAGAACACUGUGAUUGCAUCGGCAGGUGGAAAAGGAAUGGCGGCAGUGGCACUGAGAGUAGACAAUGAUAGAAAUGUUCUAUAGAGUUAAUAUUAAAGGAACACAAGACUCUUUUGGACAACACGGGAACUCACUAUUUCUACCGGUGUCUCUUCAAAGGAAAAUUUGAUUUCAUCUUUAUUGGCAGUGCAAUUUCAGUCUCCUGUUUAUCACUCCCACCUUCAUACAGCAUAUAACUUUUUAUCUCUAACUAUAUGCCUUAGUUUUAUAAAAUUGAAUUUAAGGGAUGUAGUAUGGUUUGGUUUCUUAUUGUGGUGAUGUGUUUUGCUGUUGUCUAGGUGUUUGCGGAUGGUUUUUCCGCCUACAACAUUGCUACACUCAUUACCCCAAUCUAUCUCCAGGAACACUAGCUGCACCAGUUGUUAACUUGCUUCAGCUGAAAUGACGAGGAACUGAGAAUUCAUCACUGCAAGAUCUCUUGCACGAACUAAAAUAUGCUCGAGAAUCAGAGUCGUGCCAUGCUUUCAUGAACUCAUAUAUCAUACAAACAAAAAGGCUAAUGUGUAUGUGCAAGGCUAGCUUUGAGCAAAUUCCUCAUCUGCAGCUGUAACCUACAACAAUGCUCCUCUUAUAAGUGUUCUUGCUCGGCUCGAUGGUGAUCAUGGUGACAUUGUGUUCAAUGGACUUGUAAGCAUAUUGCUAUUUUCAUUUCAAAUAAUUGUUAUGCGAAAUUCUAAUGAGAACAUUGAUCAGGUUCGUGCCUAUGAAAUAUCAGUUGAGGUAGGAAUUCUAACUCGGUGUUUGCGGAUUUGGCUGAGUCGGUAUCAGUUGAGUUGUAAAUUGUUGUGGUUCAUAUAAUCUGUUAUACAUGGUAAGUAUUAGGGAGCUUUAAACCGCUGAGCAUAUUUUGGAGCAAGUCUUAUUUUAAUAGCUUAUGUGCAUUAAGAUAAGACUUUGAGAUGAGAGUGAAACUACUGAUGCAGCAGGUUUUGACUUGGGAGAUUUGUUUCCUUAUGCUAAAUGGCUACAACACGUUAUUGGUUUGAGGCUUAAGCUUGAGAGAUCGUUUCCAAGCGGAGGUCCCGGAAUGGACUGGUGUAGCUUCUGAGUAACUCUAAACAGUUAGGCACACAAGUAUGGCCUGUUAAAGUUGAUGAUUCAAAAGCUACUUCUGAAACAGAUCUUGCUGGGAGAGGAAGACGAGGAAAGUGCAGCUGCAGUGUUCAAGGUUUUGUUGACUGUGUUUUACCCAUGGGGAUUUGACCGAAUGGGCGAGGAAGUUUCACUUCGAUGGACUGCUGAAGAAUAAAAAAAAAUUAAGGAUGCAAUGGGGUUAAAUAUCCCCUCCCAAAACAAGUCUUUUUGGAACAAGCCAUCCAAAUACUUUCAAAAGAAGACAAGAAAAUACAUGGUGAUGAACUAUUACUUCAAUUUAUAUCUUAUUCAACUGAGAAGCUAUCAGAAUCGUGUGACUCCGGAUACUGUUGACAGCGAUGAAGAUGAAGUCGAAUUUGGAUCUUUUGGUGAUGGAUUUGGGAGAAAAGCUAUCAAGCAUCCAUAUAUGGAGUUUAUGGAGUGUUCAUAGAACACACAGUGUUUUGAUUUUGAGUAGACAAAACAAGGUGAUAAUUCGAUAAAUGCAUCAUAGCCAUUUUGAGAUUGAGAAAAUAAUUUCUUGGAUCAGACUUGCAUGCUGUUUUCUUUCUCCUUUCUUCAUAUCAGGAAUGCAUUCCUUCCCUAGGAAAUUUUUGGUGAACAUACAUCAUAGAAAUGGAGAGAGAUCAUCUGCACACACUUAUUUCCAUUUGAAAGCAGUGGCUUCAAUUGCAGAUUGAAAAAAUA